AGUUCCUCUCAUAGUCACCUGAUCUGUUUUUUCCUCAGGAUAAGUGCACUAGUGUCACCCGAUAUUGUAAAGACAGACAGGCUCAGCCUUGUGGUCACGCUGCUGAAGACCUUGGAAAGUGGAAGGAUGAAGGCACAUCACAAAUAGCGGACGCAAUGCUUAGGCUCCUCCAGAAACAAAGAUGACAAAUAGUACAAUACCUGCACCAAUCAAGAUAUAUGAAAAUGGCGACUCAACCAUUCCAAUGUCACUUGUGGCUUUGCAGGAUGACAUCACUUCCGGUCCUCUACAGACGACGUCACUUCCGGUGCAGCAUGAUUGAUGACGUCACUCCCGGUCCCCUCUCGAUGGCGUCACGUCCAGCUCUGCAGGAUGAUGUCACUUCCAGUUCCCUCCUGAUGACGUCAUUUCCUUUAUGAUGCAUUUCCGACCGCCAUUUUCUUGUAUUAUAUAAAGGCAUUACAAAUGCAUACUGACUGUCGAAUGUUUGAUCCUUUUUUUCUGCAUAUUUGACCAACAAGAACGCUACAACAAUAUACGGGGCUAUUCCCCCAACACUUCAACUUUGUUUUGUGCCUUUAAUAUAUCACAGCUAAUAAGCUACAUAUGCAAAGAACGCAGUAUCACCAUCCAACCAAUGCAUGGCUUCAGUGUUUCCAGUAGGAGACCAACUGUGGGGAAUUUUUUAGCAUGCCAGACACAAAUGAGAAGAGUGUUAUGAGUGAAGGCGCAGGUGGUGGUGAACA